rnacentral:rRNA from 1 species
CUACGUGCCAGCAGCCGCGGUAACACGUAAGGUGCGAGCGUUGUUCGGAAUUAUUGGGCGUAAAGGGCAUGCAGGCGGGUCGCCAAGCUUGGUAAGAAAUACCGGGGCUCAACUCCGGAGCUAUAUUGAGAACUGGCGAGCUGGAGUUGCCGAAGGGUAUCCGGAAUUCCGCGUGAAGGGGUGAAAUCUGUAGAUAUGCGGAAGAACACCGAUGGCGAAGGCAGGAUACCGGCGGACGACUGACGCUGAGGUGCGAAGGUGCGGGGAGCAAACAGGAUUAGAUACCCUGGUAGUCCGCACAGUCAACGAUGUACACUGGGCAUGUGCGCAAGAGCGUGCGUGCCGAAGCAAACGCGAUAAGUGUACCGCCUGGGGAGUAUGCCCGCAAGGGCGAAACUCAAAGGAAUUGACGGGGGCCCGCACAAGCGGUGGAGCAUGUGGUUUAAUUCGAUGGUACGCGAGGAACCUUACCUGGGUUUGACAUCAAGAGGGAUCAUAUAGAGAUAUG